rnacentral:lncRNA from 1 species
GUUUCAACCAAACGGUCUUUCACUUCAAUUACUGUUUGCAUUUUCUCAACGUCCCUUCCCAAGUUGAACUAAAUGCAGCCUUAGAAUGAAAAGCAAAGUUGACUUGAACGACCUCGACCCAUGAGCGACGCCAGUAAGGAAAUCACCGGUCGGAAGGGGGAGGAUACAUGGCCGACUCGGAUGGAGGAGAAUGUGCCGCAAGAUCAUGUGAAAAACAUAGAGAACAUGGAAAUCAGUAACAAUGCAUCUAUACAAUAGCGAACCAGACAUACGACAACAAUCUUAAAUAUCGGUUUUAUGAAAUAGAAUCUGGUUCUUCAUCGAGACAUUUUGUCGAGCACUUGAUAAGCAAUUCGGAGUCCGGGAUCUGAACUAGAUUUUAGUGUGAU